rnacentral:rRNA from 1 species
GGGUUGUAAAGCCCUGUGGGGUAGAACGAACUGGCAUCGGGCUAAUAUCCCGGUGUCUUGACGGUACUGCCUUAGCAAGCAUCGGCUAACUCUGUGCCAGCAGCCGCGGUAAGACAGAGGAUGCGAACGUUGCUCGGAUUUACUGGGCGUAAAGCGCGUGUAGGCGGUCUCGUUAGUCGGGUGUGAAAGCCCCGGGCUCAACCCGGGAAGUGCACCCGAUACUGCGAGACUGGGGUACUGAAGAGGAGAGCGGAAUUCCCGGUGUAGAGGUGAAAUUCGUAGAUAUCGGGAGGAACACCAGUGGCGAAGGCGGCUCUCUGGGCAGAUACCGACGCUGAGACGCGAAAAGCGUGGGGAGCAAACAGGAUUAGAUACCCUGGUAGUCCACGCUGUAAACGAUGACGACUGGGUGUUGCAGGUAUUGACCCUGCGGUGCCGAAGCCAACGCGUUAAGUCGUCCGCCUGGGAAGUACGGCCGCAAGGCUAAAACUCAAAGGAAUU